GCUAAAAAUAAAGCCCUCCAACAACCUAUGAACCCAUUCAACUUUCUCUUAAAACCAAAACAUUUUACAAAUUUAGUAAAGGCGAUUAAAAAAUUAACAGGAGCGAUAAAGUACCGCAAGGGAAAAAUGAAAUAAAAAUGAAAUAGACAUCAAGCACAAAAUAGUAGAGAUUUUCUCUCGUACCUUUUGCAUCAUGGUUUAACAAGUCUAAUCAAGCACAACGAUUUACAGUUUGACUUCCCGAAACUAAGUGAGCUACUUCAGGACAGCUUACUGAGCAAAUCCGUCUCUGUUGCAAAAGAGUGGAAAGAUCUUCAAGUAGAGGUGAUAAGCCUAACGAACUUAGUGAUAGCUGGUUAUUCAAGAAAAGGAUUUUAGUCCCACCUAAAGUUUUAUUAAUUUUACAAAAUACUCUUGUAACUUUAGAGCAAUUCAAAUAAGGUACAGCCUAUUUGAGACAGGAUACAACCUAAAAAAAUGGGUAACAUUUUUAUUAUAUAAUUAAGUGGGCCUAAAAGCAGCCACCUUUAAGACAGCCUUAAAGCUCCAUUAUACUAUUAAUCAAAUCUCGCAAAACAAUUUUAACCCUUAAAUCUUAUUGAGUAAUUCUAUACUUAUAUAGAACUUAUAAUGUUAAAACUAGUAACAAGAAGAAGACCUUCUCUUAAAUGCAAGUGUAUAUCAGCAAGGACCCCCCACUGAUGAUUAACACCAAUGAAAUUUUAUUAGCAACUCAACAAGAAAAACCUAAUUAAUCUUAUGUUAACCUGACACAAGAGCAUCUAAAGAAAGAUUAAAAGAAUAAGAAGGAACUCGGCAAAUAAUAGCCCCGCCUGUUUACCAAAAACAUCGCCUUUUGAAUAACCAUAAAAGGUCCAGCCUGCCCAGUGAUUUUUUAACGGCCGCGGUAUCUUAACCGCGCGAAGGUAGCAUAAUCAAUUGUUCUUUAAAUGGGGACUUGUAUGAAUGGCAUCACGAAGGCUAUACUGUCUCCUUUCUCUAAUCAGUGAAACUAAUCUCUCCGUGAAGAAGCGGGGAUAUUAAUAUAAGACGAGAAGACCCUAUGGAGCUUUAAACUAGAUAACAAGUGUUAUUAUUUUUUAACUUCCAGAACACAAACCCUUAUUACAACACUAUGAUUUUUAGUUUUAGGUUGGGGUGACCGCGGAGCAAAAACUAACCUCCACAUUGAAAGAGCAUAUUUCUGAACCAAGAGCUACAACUCUAAGCACCAACAACUUGACAUUAAUUGACCCAAUAUUUUGAUCAACGAACCAAGUUACCCUAGGGAUAACAGCGCAAUCCACUUCAAGAGAUCUUAUCAAAAAGUGGGCUUACGACCUCGAUGUUGGAUCAGGGUAUCCCAGUGGUGCAGUCGCUACUAAAGGUUCGUUUG
rnacentral:rRNA from 1 species